GCGCGGGUGGCGGAAUUGGUAGACGCACUACUUUGAGGUGGUAGCGCCGCGAGGCGUAGGAGUUCAAAUCUCCUCCCGCGCA
rnacentral:tRNA from 1 species